rnacentral:rRNA from 1 species
GACGAACGCUGGCGGCGUGCUUAACACAUGCAAGUCGAACGGAAAGGCCCUGCUUUUGUGGGGUGCUCGAGUGGCGAACGGGUGAGUAACACGUGAGUAACCUGCCCUUGACUUUGGGAUAACUUCAGGAAACUGGGGCUAAUACCGGAUAGGAGCUCCUGCUGCAUGGUGGGGGUUGGAAAGUUUCGGCGGUUGGGGAUGGACUCGCGGCUUAUCAGCUUGUUGGUGGGGUAGUGGCUUACCAAGGCUUUGACGGGUAGCCGGCCUGAGAGGGUGACCGGCCACAUUGGGACUGAGAUACGGCCCAGACUCCUACGGGAGGCAGCAGUGGGGAAUAUUGCACAAUGGGCGGAAGCCUGAUGCAGCAACGCCGCGUGCGGGAUGACGGCCUUCGGGUUGUAAACCGCUUUCGCCUGUGACGAAGCGUGAGUGAAGGUAAUGGGGAAAGAAGCACCGGCUACUACGUG